rnacentral:rRNA from 1 species
UCCAGAGGCGAUAGCAUGUUGAAUGCACCGUUUCCAAUGUAUCACUAAAGUUAAGCAACGUGGCGCGUGGUUGGUAUCCCGAUGGGAGACCAUCUGGGCAAAUAAUCCUAACAAUUCUGUUC